rnacentral:rRNA from 1 species
CCUACGGGCGGCAGCAGUGGGGAAUAUUGGACAAUGGGGGCAACCCUGAUCCAGCCAUGCCGCGUGUGUGAAGAAGGCCCUCGGGUUGUAAAGCACUUUCAGUGAGGAAGAACGCCUGGUGGUUAAUACCCAUCAGGAAAGACAUCACUCACAGAAGAAGCACCGGCUAACUCCGUGCCAGCAGCCGCGGUAAUACGGAGGGUGCGAGCGUUAAUCGGAAUUACUGGGCGUAAAGCGCGCGUAGGUGGCUUGAUAAGCCGGUUGUGAAAGCCCCGGGCUCAACCUGGGAACGGCAUCCGGAACUGUCAAGCUAGAGUGCAGGAGAGGAAGGUAGAAUUCCCGGUGUAGCGGUGAAAUGCGUAGAGAUCGGGAGGAAUACCAGUGGCGAAGGCGGCCUUCUGGACUGAAACUGACACUGAGGUGCGAAAGCGUGGGUAGCAAACAGGAUUAGAUACCCUAGUAGUC